UUCCGUAGGUGAACCUGCGGAAGGAUCAUUAAUGAAUCUUCAAAGCCGACCCUUCCGGUGCUGGUGGUCACACAUGUGCACGUUGGGGUCGCAAAUCCACACACCUGUGCAUACUUGACUCUGAGCACCUUCACCCUCAUGUUAGGGAGUCUAAUCUUGAUUGGACUGGUGCUUGAGUAUUUUUCACACACUCAGAAUGUAAUGGAAUGUAGAUUUUGCAUAACAUGCAAUUGAAACAACUUUCAACAAUGGAUCUCUUGGCUCUCGCAUCGAUGAAGAACGCAGCGAAAUGCGAUAAGUAAUGUGAAUUGCAGAAUUCAGUGAAUCAUCGAGUCUUUGAACGCACCUUGCACCCUUUGGUUUUCCAAAGGGUACACCCGUUUGAGUAUCAUUGUAAUCUCACCCUCCGACUUGUUUGUCGGUGUGUUGUGGAAUUGGAUGCUGCCGUGUCAUGACGGCUCAUCUGAAAUAUCUGAGUAACAUCCUGGAUUUGCAAUGUGUUCGGUGUGAUAAAUCUUCACCGGAAUUGACCUUGCGUCGCACUUGCUUGACCACGGCUCUGUGCUUCCAACCGUCCCACUUGUGGACAAUGUCUGACAUUUUGACCUCAAAUCGGGUGGGGCUACCCGCUGAACUUAAGCAUAUCAAUAAGCGGAGGAAAAGAAACUAACUAGGAUUCCCCCAGUAACGGCGAGUGAAGAGGGAAAAGCUCAAAUUUUGAAUCUGGUGCCCUUGGCACCCGAGUUGUAAUCUAGAGAAGUGUUUUCUGUGUCGGACCGUGCUUAAGUCCCCUGGAAUGGGGUGUCAUAGAGGGUGAGAAUCCCGUACAUGACAUGGACCCUGACACUCUGUGAUACACUCUCAACGAGUCGAGUUGUUUGGGAAUGCAGCUCAAAAUGGGUGGUGAAUUCCAUCUAAAGCUAAAUAUUGGCGAGAGACCGAUAGCGAACAAGUACCGUGAGGGAAAGAUGAAAAGCACUUUGGAAAGAGAGUGAAACAGUACGUGAAAUUGUUGAAAGGGAAGCGUUUGAAGUCAGUCAUGUCAUUUGGAAUUCAACCUGGCUUCUGCCUGGUGUAUUUUCCAUCUGACCGAGUCAGCAUCAGUUUUGAUCAGGGGAAAAAGGUGUGGGGAAUGUGGCUGUCUCCGGGCAGUGUUAUAGCCCCAUGUUGUAUGCCUUGAUUGGGACUGAGGAGUGCAGCGCGCCUGUAUGGCCGGGGGUCACCACGCCUCUCGAAUCGCGCUUAGGAUGCUGGCAUAAUGGCUUUAAGCGACCCGUCUUG
rnacentral:rRNA from 1 species